rnacentral:lncRNA from 1 species
UUUGUCAUUAGAGACUGUUUGUGUUGGAACUAGGGUUUAUAGUAUAAUGAUGGGACAAUCUAGGGUUGAGUAGUUUGAUAAAAAUAUAUACAAUGAUUUUUACAAUUGAUUGAAAUAUAAUCAUGACAAUAUUUUAUGUUUUUGACGCUUAUUUUCUGAUUUACAUUUUUUGUGGUUUUCAGUUAAAUGAAUUAGUUUUGGAAAUCGUAUAAGUUGUUUGUAGACUUGAGGUGUGUAAUGAUGAUGAUUUUAAAA